UGUGCAGAAAACCAGCCAACCAACCAACCAACCCUCUCCCACUGCACCCCGCCCCCCAGCCAGGGCGCUGAAGUCAUAUUUCUCCCUGGCUGACUUCCUCCUAUACUGGUGCCUCAGAACUGGAUUCUUGUUACCCAGAACCACCUCCCCUAAGUUCAAAGCCAGUUAGAGGGCACAUCUGGUACACAAGGGAGCGGGAUCCACCGACCAGCACGGCUGCUUGCCUGGCCCUAAGGGGGAGGCUUCCUCUGCAGAUAAACCACACUCGGGUCCGCUGGAUGGCACACAGGGUCCUUGCCAUGCUUGCGCCUAAACAUACCCAUCUUGAAAUCAGUGGUUGUCAUCGUAGAGUAACCUGGGAAUUGUUGUUGAAAAUACCUUUGAUGGGGGGAAGACUUUUCAAACAAAAACAAAUAAACCUUUGUUCAGGCCCAUUGAACGGAAUCCCUGGGCCUGGGCCGGGAGGUGCAAUUUUUUUUUUUUUCUUUUUUAAACAGCUCCCAGAUGAUUCUAUUGUGAGGCAGGGCUAAGCACCACCGUGUAGAUUCCGCUAGUGGAAGCUAUCCAAGCCCGAGCUUACUCCCUUCCUUCCAAAUGCACCCCAGGAGAUUCCUCUGCCUGUUCUCACACCAAAGAUUUCUGGGAGCCAGGAAAUAAAGUCAAGCAGCCUAGGGAACGCAGUUAGGUGGAGAAAGGAAAGGGGUUGAAAACAGAGGAGGUGCCAAGUGGUGAGGAUGGCGUUAAGCCCCCCUCCCCCUCUGGACGGCUGCACGCAGCUGGUGGACAUAAAGCCACCUUCUAGGCCUCCUAAGCUCUGGGGGUUGACAUACUCUAAGUGCCACGAUGCUCGGUGGCUUCGUGCUGGAGUGGGAGAGGUGAAACCAGGAAUAAGUACUGCAGAGCCCUGAAGCCCCGGGAACUGCGUGGCAGAGGCUUUGGGAAAAGAGCGUGGUCUCCAAACACCAGGGGACAACUUAAAAAUCUAAGUCACGUCUAUGCUGAAAAGGGGGACGAGAAAAAAUGGGAUUUGGGGUGCGUGUGUUGAGGCACUUGAGAGGCACACAGCCCCUGGUGAGCAUGAUGCAAUCUGUUCCUGGUCACAGGAAGGCCAUGACUCCGCGGGGGGUGGGGUAGGGUGGGAGGGAGACCGCUCAAGAGUCCCAAACCACCAUGAUCCCUUCAGACCCUCCAACUGCUCACCGCGCGGUUGAGAAGUAAUAAGCAAACCCCCACUUGGAGCCCAGAGCUCAGAGGGACUCUACUCCGAGACCAGACACCCCCUGGUUACUUGGGCAACUGGUGGACUCCCCUUCCCACACUUGUAGGCCUGUGGGUGUGCAGGGGGAGGGGCCUGCCCCCACUGCCUCAUUCUUAGUGCUUUCUUGGCCAUCUGCCUGCCUUCCUCUGGCAGGGCUAUGCUGCUCUUGCACUCUUGGCUUAUUCCAUAAGAGAAGGUCUCCCCGCCUCCACCCUUCGUUCUGUUUGGUCUCUCCCCAGAUGUCUCAAACUUUCUGUGGGAAAGAAUGUUCUUACUGCUAAAGUGAGACUGCCAGGCCUUAGGAGUCUGCCGGGUCUAGGUGGUGGGAGAGGGGUACCACCAGGAAGACACCACUGCUCUGCACUCUCUGCCCGCCUCUGGGUCUCCCCAGGCACCCUCUGUUCUCUGAUUCCGGAGCAUCCAAAUAUCAGAUCUUUGUCCUGAGAACAACCCUCCAGCAGCAGGAUUGAUGCAGAUGUGCACCAUGGAUGCGGUCCAGCUCUGGAGGAGCAAGCAGUUUCUGUUGGAGCUUUUGCUUUAAAGGUUUUCUUGAGCAAAGAAAAUCCUCUCCAUUCACACAGCCUGUGCCUCCAACUUAGUGAACUUCUGUACCUAGACUUUUUCUUUCUUUCUUUCUUUCUUUCUUUCUUUCUUUCUUUCUUUCUUUCUUUCUUUCUUCCUUCCUUCCUUCCUUCCUUCCUUCCUUUCUUUUUUUUCGUGUGUGUGUGUGUGUGUGUGUGUGUGUGUGUGUGUGUGUGUGUGUGUUUGAGACAGGGUCUCUAUGUGCCCCUGGGUGCCCUGGGACUCACUAUGUAGUCUAGGCUGGCCUCGAACUCAGAAACCCAUCUGCCUCUGCCUCCCAAGCCGUGAGAUUAAAGGUGUAGCCCACUGCACCCGGUUUUGUUACCUAGACUUUUGAAUGUUUUUCUCUUUUUGCUUUUUCCAAAAGAAAUCCAGGCAAAGACCCCAUAUGAGAGAGGGAUGUCAGAUAAUACAGCAGUGGGAGAGUCAACCUGUUGUAUCCCAACACUAAACACGCGUGUCAGGGGCUGUGCUGGUCAUCACCUCUCUCUCCAGCACCCAAACCAACGACACAGCUCCCAGGAGCAGAUGUAAACCAGAAAACAUGAGAGAGAGAAAAGGGCUCUAGUUGGAAGCAUCUCACCUAGGCCUGGCCCCAUGAAAACCAGGAAAUGGCGCCAGAGGGCAAAGCUAAGCUUCCAGCCCUCAUCCACCCUGGUGAAAGACAAGGAGCCUCCUCAACAGCUCGGGGUAGACGACGACGGAAGCAGCUGGGGGCGGGGAGCAGUUUGCACAGCUCUCCGAGCAGCAUGCAGCAUGGCAGAGCAACAAAAUCAGAGAGCCACAUGUCAAGGAAUCAAUACAAUAAUCAUCAUGACAACAGUAAUGGCCACGGGACUCUUACCCACCUCUGCCUUGUGACCUUGGGCAAAUCGUUUAAAGUUUCUCUUCCUUCAUUAUAAAAAGAUCACUGUGUACCUUGCCCAUGGCUUGUCAUAAGAACCAGGUGAGAGUAUGUGAAAGCUUUAGAAAUAUAAAGUUGAUUUAUAAACUG